ACCAGACUCCUACGGGAGGCAGCAGUGGGGAAUCUUCCGCAAUGGGCGAAAGCCUGACGGAGCAACGCCGCGUGAUCGAAUGAAGGCCUUCGGGUUGUAAAGAUCUGUUGACAGGGACGAAUAAGCAAUGCGAAUAGUUUUGUGUAUGACGGUACCUGUUUAGAAAGCUCCGGCUAACGACGUGCCAGCAGCCGCGGUAAUACGUAGGGAGCAAGCGUUGUCCGGAUUUAUUGGGUUUAAAGGGUGCGUAGGCGGGCUUUUAAGUCAGCGGUAAAAAUUCGGGGCUCAACCCCGUCCGGCCGUUGAAACUGGGGGCCUUGAGUGGGCGAGAAGAAGGCGGAAUGCGUGGUGUAGCGGUGAAAUGCAUAGAUAUCACGCAGAACUCCGAUUGCAAAGGCAGCGCACCGGCGCCCUACUGACGCUCAGGCACGAAAGCGUGGGUAUCGAACAGGAUUAGAUACCCGAGUA
rnacentral:rRNA from 1 species